UUAACAAUGGAAUUCCCGUCCAAGAAGCGUAUCCAAUGUAUGCUACGCUUAACGUAUUCAGUACGAUUAAAUUUCGCUAUAACGCUCUCAUAUACGGGACUGGAUUGUAAAUUUGUUUUUCCUUUGUCGCUAGCUAUUUUCAAUGUUAUUCAUCUAUAACGUGAGACAAAUGAACAUGACCUGGACUUUGAUGCUCUAGCGAAUAGUCUUUGUAGGGCAACCUUCAGAUAUCGCUUGACCAUCCACUUUGCUAUCAUCGACACUAGCAGCAAGAACCAAAAAGUCGUCAAUGAUGCGGCUUAUAAGCAAUGCGACUCACGGAGGCCUGCCGCCAGGGAUUGGUCCUAUCUUAGGACGUGGCACGGUCUUUCUCUCACUUGGUAGCAGCCCGCCUGUCCCAGCCAGAAAAGGCAGCUUGAGGUAGUCUCCCUCUUUCUCAAAGCCUGCGGCAGCCGAAGCAGGAAGAACAACGUCGGCAGCAGCCGGCAGGAGAAGCAGCAGUGUGAACGGCGAACAUUGCCAGGCAGCCUGGAAAAGUUGUGCGAUCGAUAGCCCUUGUUGAAAUUCACCGAGCGGCAUCGCGCAGGCAGAAAAGACUGGUUGAAGAGGAUCCAGCAGUUUCUACUAGUUUCUUUCUCUGCCUGCUCCUAGCACCUUGUGCGGCCACCGUUAGCGCACUGAUGUUGGUGCUACUUCACGAGAAAGCUUUCUUGAUAGUAAGAUUCUUCAUCGACAACGAAGACCGCGUCAGGCUCAAACUUGGCGGUGUUGACGUUUAACGCUGUGAGUAGUAGCAUCGUCGAACUCUGGUUAAUCUCAAUAGCCAACAGGCAGUCUUGCCGUGAGCUGAUUUAUACACGUUUUAGAGAAAAGGAUCACUCCAUGAAAAACGUUGACCCGAGGCGUACUGCUACCCCUUGCUCCUAAUGAAAGGCGAAAAAGUGGGACACAAAGAAUCGAUAAAAAAAAAAGGUUACGGGAGGGUCCUCGGUCGAAUAAUUCCGGUAUGAGGUGGAUGAAUAGAACAGAGCAGACCCCAUGCAGCAGCAGCAUUGAGAUCGAGUUUCAUGCGAGUUGACAUAAGGCAAUAACGCGUCGCUGGGGUGUGCUUCAUGCGGGGAGCCACCUUGGAUCACCUGCGGCUAGAAAGAGGAAGCCGAUGACGAAGACUGGGCCAAAGACCCCAGGAUACUCCGUUUUCCGUGAAGCAUCCGCUAUGCAAUUAUGCGGUACGGAAACGCCGCUACCGGAACAGAAGUUUAACAGCAACAGCGACGCCAGCCGCUACUCGCUAAAUACGUCAAAGGUAGCUCAGCAGCACCCCGAAUUUGUGCGUUGAGAUGAGUGGCGGCUACCUACAUACUUCUCGCUCCAUGUCAGAGAUUUCCAACUAAUGCCCUGCAUAUCAGUCUGGAUUCUUCGCACGCAAAAGACAAACAAGCAAGCAGUUGUCCUGUCGAAGGCAAACUCAGUUUCUGGAUCAGUACAAGCCGCAGCAUCACUACCAUUCGUCGCCGACAACGUCGCUUUUGGACCGUUGGCAGCUUUCGCCAAUCAGUGCGUCGCAAUCGUAGUUACUGUAGUCUGCUUUCGCAGAGAAGAAGCUGCCAGUGAUUACAAGCCUGCUCGUAUAAGAUUGUCGGCAUCAGACUGUGGCCCAUGGGAAACUAUUUCAGCCAACCUGUUCCCUGUAGACAGUGGGGAGUCGAGUGCUUUCUUAAGAAUUUCCCUUCGGCCUAAGAUGUGCUUAAAUGAGCUGGUG